rnacentral:rRNA from 1 species
AUGGCAGCCGCGGGAGAUCCUCUCCAAGGUCAAGAACGUCCAGGCCAAGCCUGCUGGCCGCCCUCGCGGGUGACUGCCUCUGCGGUGACGACGGCGGCGGCCUCAUCGUCCCCACCCCCGAUUCAUCUCCAAUCCCGCCGCCGACACCCAACCCCACCCCCACCGGCGACCUCCCUCCCUUGCUUCUCAACCCAACGCCACGGCCUCCGGUAUCUCCCCGACAGCCGCCACUCCCGUACCCUCUCCAAUCCCCUCCCCUCCCCUACCCUCACCAGAAGAGGAAGAGAAGAGGGUCAGGCGGAUCAGGCGGCCGCCAUGGCGCGACCAGAUCUGCCACGGUUGCCCCGCACAUUGUCCAGGGGCUCGAGUCCACGGACUAGUCUGUGA